CCCUUAGAUGUCCGGGGCUGCACGCGCGCUACACUGAAGGAAUCAGCGUGCUAAAACCAUUGUCGAAAGGCAUUGGUAAACCCAUUAAAAUCCUACGUGAUUGGGAUCGGGAAUUGCAAUUAUUUCCCUUGAACGAGGAAUUCCCAGUAAGUGUGGGUCAUAAGCUCGCGCUGAUUACGUCCCUGCCCUUUGUACACACCGCCCGUCGCUGCCCGGGACUGAGCCGUUUCGAGAAAAGCGGGGACUGCUGCUGUCGGGGCUUUCGGGCCUUGGCUUCGGUGGAAACCGCUUUAAUCGCAGUGGCUUGAACCGGGCAAAAGUCGUAACA
rnacentral:rRNA from 1 species